rnacentral:rRNA from 1 species
AGUGAACGCUGGCGAUAGGCCUAACACAUGCAAGUCGAACGGCAGCACAGUAAGAGCUUGCUCUUACGGGUGGCGAGUGGCGGACGGGUGAGGAAUACAUCGGAAUCUACUUUUUCGUGGGGGAUAACGUAGGGAAACUUACGCUAAUACCGCAUACGACCUACGGGUGAAAGCAGGGGAUCUUCGGACCUUGCGCGAUUGAAUGAGCCGAUGUCGGAUUAGCUAGUUGGCGGGGUAAAGGCCCACCAAGGCGACGAUCCGUAGCUGGUCUGAGAGGAUGAUCAGCCACACGGGAACUGAGACACGGUCCAGACUCCUACGGGAGGCAGCAGUGGGGAAUAUUGGACAAUGGGCGCAAGCCUGAUCCAGCCAUACCGCGUGGGUGAAGAAGGCCUUCGGGUUGUAAAGCCCUUUUGUUGGGAAAGAAAAGCAGCAGGUUAAUACCCCGCUGUUCUGACGGUACCCAAAGAAUAAGCACCGGCUAACUUCGUG